UGCAUUGUAUUGUGUAAACUG
rnacentral:piRNA from 1 species